rnacentral:rRNA from 1 species
UACGUAGGGGCCAAGCGUUGUCCGGAUUUAUUGGGCGUAAAGAGCUCGUAGGUGGUUCGGCAAGUCAGUUGUGAAAUCUCCGCGCUCAACGCGGAGGGGUCAGCUGAAACUGCUGUGACUUGAGUCUGGUAGGGGAGUGUGGAAUUCCCGGUGUAGCGGUGAAAUUCGUAGAUAUUCGGAGGAACACCAGUGGCGAAGGCGGCUCACUGGCUCGAUACUGACGCUGAGGUGCGAAAGCGUGGGGAGCAAACCGG